ACUGGCAAAUAAUCAAACUUAUUAUUAUUAUUGAUUAACCUGGUCAGUACCUGGAUGGGAGACCUCCUGGGAAAAUUAGGUUGCUGCUG
rnacentral:rRNA from 1 species